CCGCUGCCUGUCCUGCUCCGCGGUGGCAGGAUGCUGGGUCUGCCCCUAAAGUCAGUGUCUGGAGAUGACAACCAUCCCCCAUGCAGUACAGCAGCAGCCAGGCUCACAUCAGGCCCGAGCCCUGAACGGAGGGAGGCAGGAGAGGAUGCGGGAGCAGCUGAGCACCUUUUACCCCACGACAGGAACACCUGUUUCCAACUGCAGAUUGCUUAGAAAUCCAAUUUUUCCAAAAAGUCAUUUUAAUUGCACUAUGGGUGUUCUCCAUUUAAAGAAACGGGAUGUGGCGGGGGAGGGGAGUGGAGGCGGCGUUCGUUCAGUUUUUGGUGAGAGAAAAAAGUAUUUUUACUGAUCGAGAUUUUAGCGCCUCCCAAUUCUUGCUUAAAUUAUCCAACUCUUGGGUUAUAAAUUUGCUUUUUAGUGACAGCAUAGCUGCAGCCUGCAGGGUCUCUGGAGAAUAGGUCUUCAUCAGAGGGCAUGUCUCCUGGCAAGGGGGCAUUUGCUGCCUGCCGCCCAGCUCUGAGCAACAGCCCGGAGCCCUGCUGGCUGCUCUCCACACCCUGAAGCCGACUCUGAGUUCGACGAAUGCUCAGCCUUCGCUGGUGCGGCCAGGGCUCUCAUCUGCUGCUUCCAUUUCAGGUCAGAGGCCUCAUCUUCCUAGAAGUUCAUUCUUCAGAUUGUCAGCAACGGAUGCAGGGAGGCGAAAUCCUCUUUCUCCCAUUCUUUCCAGAAUGUCCGUGAAAAUGAGGCACACCACUUCCUUCAGGCCUGGAGCACUGGAUUCAUCAUGAAAAGAAUCAAUCCGGAGCAAGAUGGCCGAAUAGGAACAGCUCCAGUCUCCAACUCCCAGCGCGAGCGACACAGAAGACCAGUGAUUUCUGCACUUUCAACCGAGGGCCACAAAGACCUUUACAGGAGGAGCAACAAAGUAUAGCUGCCUGAGACAAAAAUCUAUUCAAGCUUAAAAUGCAAGAGCAUUAGCUGCUCAGAGCCAUCACCAAGGAGAGAUAAAAUACGUCUGCUCUCUCAAGACCUGGGAGAUGCUAGCAGUGUGAUUGUUUUUUUGGCUGGGAAAGCUGCUUAGCCGACAGAAAAAGGAACGUACCUGAACAUUUAUGGGUUGGCUUUUCAAAGAGAGCAUCCCGUCUUCCUUUCACCCCUCCCUCCUCCCCUUCCCUGUAAAGGAACACUUAGCAAAAGUAAAUAAAUUAUCAGCCCUGGCCAUGCAGAAAUGCCUCUCACAGGGUAAUGCAGGGAUGUCUGAAGCCAUAAAGGGAAUUUUCAGAGCUGAAGUCAUCAACACGGAAGAGGCAAGCAGGGGAGAGGCUGGGAGGAAUGUGGAGAUUCCCUCUUCCCCUUGCUGGUCUGGGCUAUAAUGGAGAAGACCUGGGGCUCCUUAUGAGUGCUGACCCAAAAAAGUCUGGGCAGAGGGUGAUCAUCCCAGGCUGCUCAGGAUCGUGCAGUUAUUGAGCUCAAACAAAGCACUGUGGUGUAGAGAGCUGAGCACUGGGUUUGGAGCCAGGAACCCUGGCUCUCAGGUCCUCCUCUGCCAUCCUCUUGCUGGCUGAUCUCCAGUCAGUGAGCUAUUCUGAACUUUGUCUUAUCUGGGAAAUAGAAAUGAUAACAUCUAUGUUUGCAAUGGACUGAAUAGUGUCCCUCUCCACAAAUUCAGACAUUGAAACACUGACCCCUUGAGGGGCUGUAUUCAGAGAUGGGGCUUUCAGGAAGUAAUAACGGUUCAAUGAGGUGAGAAAGGUGGGGCCCCAUUCUGAUGGUACUGGAGACCUUAUAAGAAGAGAAAGAGGGAAAGAUCUUUUGCUCUCUCUCCAUGCACUCAGAGGAAAGGCCAUGUGAUAACACAAUGAGAAGGUGGCUUUCUACGAGCCAGGAAGAGAGUUCUCACCAGGAGGCAAAUUGGCCAGCACCUUGAUCUUCGACUUCUAACCUGCAGAAUUGGGGGAAAAUCAGCCUCUGCUGUUGAAGCCACCAGUCUGUGGUGCUCUGUUAUAGCAGCUCAGGCACAUCAUACAAUCUCCUAACGUGCUUGAAAAAACAGUCCAAGAAGGCAGGUGAGGAAGUCCAAGAAGUCCUCACUCUUCAUCAGAGUGAAACACCAUGAUGCCAUGCAGCCCGGCCUUCUCACUUAGCACAUGAGGAUCUGAGGCCUAGAGGUGUUAGGGACUGACAUGGUUUGGCUGUGUCCCCACCCAAAUCUCAUCCUGUAACUCCCCUGAUUCCCAUGUGUCAUGGGAGGAGCCUGGUGGGAGGUGAUUGAAUUAUGGGGGCAGGUCUUUCCUGCACUGUUCUCCUGAUAGUGAAUGAGUCUCAUGAGAUCUGAUGGUUUUAAAACUGGAGUUUCUCUGCAGAGCUCUCUCUUUGCUGCAAUCCACAGAAGAUGUGACUUGUUCCUCCCCACCUUCCAUUGUGAUUGUGAGGCCUCCCCAGCCAUGUGGAACUGUAAAUCCAAUAAACCUCUUUCUUUUGUAAAUUGCCCAGUCUCAGGUAUGUCUUUAUCAGCAGCAAGAAAACGGACUAAUACAGGGACUACCUAAGGUGGACCAACUCUGCCCUGGCAGGUGAGACACCGCUCCGUUUUCCUGGUUUGGAGGGGAACUCUUUCCACAGAGAGGCAACCUGUGGCCAUCUCGAGGGAGGAGACAGUCCUCUCCUGCCUCACACUCUACUGUGCUGGAACCGAAGCUCAGCUCCUUUCUUUCUUGGCAAAAAGCAUUGAGGUCCAGACACUUUCUGUGCCAGGCAGCCACACUCUCCUUUGGAGAUCUGAGUGUCCAGGAGUUUCAGGGAAUAAACAAUCUGAACAUAACUUUUACUCAUCAAACUCAUGAUUCAAAACCUGCUGAACUGCUAGGACAACCUAGUCUACGUGCUGAAAUGAACACGUUUCUGUGUUUACUUCCAUUUAGUUAAUACAAGGUGUGUUUAUGCUCUAGAAUAUGCGUAUUUCAUCCCCUUUUGACUUGGGAAAAAACUAAUCAAAAAUAUUUUCUAACUCUCCAGUGCCCACUCCCAAAAUGAACCUGGCCAGAUGCUGAGGCUGCAGGUUGCUUGGUGGCCUUGUCCAGUUCUGGGGGACUGAGGUGUGCAGUGCUGAGGACUCCCUGGGGACCCUCAGGCCUCCUGCAGAAGCUCUGGUGGCCUCCUCUUGUCUUGAGGUUUGCUCAGGCUUUGGGUGGAACUUCCUCUCUUAUGCAAGGUUGGGCACAAUUUCCAGACCCCUUGGGCAAGCCAAGGCCACCAAGCAAUGUGAGGUCUCAGCAUCUGGCCCACUUUAUUUUGGAAGUGGGCACUGAAGAGUUAGAAAACAUUUUUCAUUACUUUUUUUUUCCCCGUCAAAAGGGGGUGGAAUAUGCAUAUACUAGGGCACAAACGUCCAUUUUAUUAACUAAAUAGAAGUAACAUUUCUUAAAGAUGCCACCUUCACAGAGCAGCAUAGAGGAUUUGGGGGUCAGCUUCCUGGGUGUGGCUUUGUCCUGGCUUGGACAGAGUGGGGGUAACAGCUGUGUUUACACUGAGCACUCCUCGUUGCUUCUGAUAUGGUAUUUAUUUUAACAUCAACUUUUCCAUUUAUCUUUGUUUGUCAGGGAAACGCAUACACACACACAGCCCCUAAAUCUCCUUGUACAAAGAAAAGCUAGGUAGGUUAUAAUUUCCUUCUUGGAAAAAAAAAAAAAAAAGAAAACC